CCUACGGGAGGCAGCAGUGGGGAAUAUUGGGCAAUGGGCGCAAGCCUGACCCAGCAACGCCGCGUGAAGGAAGAAGGCUUUCGGGUUGUAAACUUCUUUUAAGAUGGAAGAGCAGAAGACGUUUCCUCUUGAAUAAGCCACGGCUAACUACGUGCCAGCAGCCGCGGUUAUACGUAGGUGGCAAGCGUUAUCCGGAUUUACUGGGUGUAACGGGCGUGCAGCCGGGAAGACAAGUCAGAUGUGAAAUCCCGCGGCUCAACCGCGGAACUGCAUUUGAAACUGUUUUUCUUGAGUACAGGAGAGGUGAGUGGAAUUCCUUGUGUAGCGGUGAAAUGCGUAGAUAUAAGGAAGAACACCAGUGGCGAAGGCGGAUGACUGGACGGCAACUGACGGUGAGGCGCGAAAGCGUGGGGAGCAAACAGGAUUAGAUACCCCAGUAGUC
rnacentral:rRNA from 1 species